rnacentral:rRNA from 1 species
CACGUUGAAACGCGUAGUAGUAUCAGCUUGUGACUGGGAUAACAGCGAAGGUUGUAAUACUGGAUAGAGCGCAAAGUUGUGAGGACUUUUGCGGGAAGGGAGGCCGUACAUACGGUUUUGCACUGAGAUGAGCCUGCGUCCCAUCAGCUAGUUGGUGAGGUAAGAGCUUACCAAGGCAAUGACGGGUAGCUGGUCUGAGAGGACGAUCAGCCACACUGGAACUGAAACACGGUCCAGACUCCUACGGGAGGCAGCAGUGGGGAAUCUUGCGCAAUGGAGGAAACUCUGACGCAGCGACGCCGCGUGGGUGAAGAAGGCCUUCGGGUUGUAAAGCCCUGUCGAGAGGGAAAAACGGUACUGCAAUAAUACGGCAGUAGCGUGAUUGGUACCUCUAAAGGAAGCACCGGCUAACUCUGUGCCAGCAGCCGCGGUAAUACAGAGGGUGCAAGCGUUGUUCGGAAUUAUUGGGCGUAAAGGGCAGGUAGGUGGUCUAUCAAGAGUGCUGUGAAAUCCCUGAGCUUAUCAGGAAGUGCGGGGCUGACUGAUGGACUAGAGUACUGGAGGGGUUUGGGGAAUUCCCGGUGUAGGGUGAAUUGGUAA